UCUACGAAAUUAAUAGGCGUGGUUUUCAAUUUAAACAGCAGGUAAUUGCAUUUACACGUUGUCAAUACUGCAUCUAUGUAUCUACAUUUUUUGGUGUCAGUAUACAUUGCUACUUCUGCAACAUGUAGAAGAAAUGAACUGUUGACCAACCCUGAAAUUCAAAACAUAUCCAAGGCUGGUAAUACAUCAAAAAUUACCGAGGCUGCCUCCUGCAGAAUAGUUCAA
rnacentral:lncRNA from 7 species